rnacentral:rRNA from 1 species
GUCUUUUUGAUUAUAAUUUAAAGUCUGGCCUGCCCAAUGAGGAGUUUAAUGGCCGCGGUAUUUUGACCGUGCAAAGGUAGCAUAAUCAUUAGUUUUUUAAUUGAAAGCUGGAAUGAAUGGUCGGACGAGAAAACGACUGUCUCAAUCUAAAUUUUUAUUAGAAUUUUAUUUUUAAGUAAAAAAGCUUAAAUGAAUUUAAAAGACGAGAAGACCCUAUAGAGUUUUAUAUACUGAUUUAUAUUAAAUUAGAGGUAUUUAUGUUUAUAGGUAUGAAUUAGUGUAUUUUGUUGGGGUGACAGAAAAAUUGAAUAAACUUUUUUUAUAAUAAGUCAUUAAUUUAUGAGUAUAUGAUCCGUAGUUUACGAUUAUAAGAUUAAAUUACCUUAGGGAUAACAGCGUAAUUUUUUUUGAGAGUUCUAAUCGAAAAAAGAGUUUGCGACCUCGAUGUUGGAUUAAAAUUAAUUUCUGGUGUAGGUGCUAGAAUAUUAGGUCUGUUCGACCUUUGAAAUUUUACAUGAUCUGAGU